UCUAAAUCUUCGUUCUUAUUUUUUUUCAUUUUCGCCUUCCUUUUUUGUGUAUUCAAUGCAUUCCACAAGAAUGAAGGACUGGAAUA
rnacentral:ribozyme from 1 species